rnacentral:rRNA from 1 species
UGCCAGCAGCCGCGGUAACACGUAAGGGGCGAGCGUUGUUCGGAAUUAUUGGGCGUAAAGGGCGUGCAGGCGGUUUAGCAAGUCUGAUGUGAAAACUCUGGGCUUAACUCAGAAGACGCGUUGGAAACUGCUAGACUUGAAUCUUGGAGGGGGAGUUGGAAUUCCUAGUGUAGGGGUGAAAUCUGUUGAUAUUAGGAAGAACACCGGUGGCGAAGGCGAACUCCUGGCCGAAGAUUGACGCUGAGGCGCGAAAGCGUAGGUAGCAAACAGGAUUAGAUACCCUGGUAGUCUACGCUGUAAACGAUGUACACUUGGUGUUGGGCCGAUUAGGUUCAGUGCCGUAGCUAACGCGAUAAGUGUACCGCCUGGGGAGUAUGCCCGCAAGGGUGAAACUUAAAGGAAUUGGCGGGGGAU